UUAUCCCUACGGGACGCAGCAGUGGGGGAUAUUGCACAAUGGGGGGAACCCUGAUGCAGCGACGCCGCGUGGGUGAAGGAGCGUUUCGGCGCGUAAAGCCCUAUCGGCAGGGAGGAAGGAGGACGGUACCUGACUAAGAAGCCCCGGCUAACUACGUGCCAGCAGCCGCGGUAAUAAGUAGGGGGCAAGCGUUAUCCGGAUUUACUGGGUGUAAAGGGGGCGCAGACGGCAGCGCAAGCCAGGAGUGAAAGCCCGGGGCCC
rnacentral:rRNA from 1 species